rnacentral:rRNA from 1 species
GAGUUUGAUCAUGGCUCAGAUUGAACGCUGGCGGCAGGCCUAACACAUGCAAGUCGAGCGGAUGACGGGAGCUUGCUCCUGGUGGCGAGUGGCGAACGGGUGAGUAAUGCAUCGGAACGUAUCCUGGAGUGGGGGAUAACGUAGCGAAAGUUACGCUAAUACCGCAUAUUCUGUGAGCAGGAAAGCGGGGGACCUUCGGGCCUCGCGCUCUUGGAGCGGCCGAUGUCGGAUUAGCUAGUUGGUGAGGUAAAGGCUCACCAAGGCGACGAUCCGUAGCAGGUCUGAGAGGAUGAUCUGCCACACUGGAACUGAGACACGGUCCAGACUCCUACGGGAGGCAGCAGUGGGAAUUUUGGACAAUGGGGGCAACCCUGAUCCGGCCAUGCCGCGUGAGCGAAGAAGGCCU